rfam:Columba livia unplaced genomic scaffold scaffold1, whole genome shotgun sequence.
AAUCAGGCUUUUUUAAAAGCUACAUACCAUACAUUGUGAUUAUUUU